rnacentral:rRNA from 1 species
GACGAACGCUGGCGGCGUGCCUAAUACAUGCAAGUUGAGCGCUGAAGGUUGGUACUUGUACCGACUGGAUGAGCAGCGAACGGGUGAGUAACGCGUGGGGAAUCUGCUUUGAGCGGGGGACAACAUUUGGAAACGAAUGCUAAUACCGCAUAAAAACUUUAAACACAAGUUUUAAGUUUGAAAGAUGCAAUUGCAUCACUCAAAGAUGAUCCCGCGUUGUAUUAGCUAGUUGGUGAGGUAAAGGCUCACCAAGGCGAUGAUACAUAGCCGACCUGAGAGGGUGAUCGGCCACAUUGGGACUGAGACACGGCCCAAACUCCUACGGGAGGCAGCAGUAGGGAAUCUUCGGCAAUGGACGAAAGUCUGACCGAGCAACGCCGCGUGAGUGAAGAAGGUUUUCGGAUCGUAAAACUCUGUUGGUAGAGAAGAACGUUGGUGAGAGUGGAAAGCUCACCAAGUGACGGUAACUACCCAGAAAGGGACGGCUAACUACGUG